rnacentral:snRNA from 1 species
AUACUUACCUGGCAGGGGAGAUACCAUGAUCACGAAGGUGGUUUUCCUAGGGUGAGGCUCAUCCAUUGCACUGCGGGUGUGCUGACCCCUGCGAUUUCCCCAAAUGCGGGAAACUCGACUGCAUAAUUUGUGGUAGUGGGG